AGUGAAGUUAGAUAAUUGCCUCAAAAUCUUUUUGGCAAUCACCCCUGGGAAAAAGGCUUUUCACACUGUGUGAACUCUGAGAUAGGUCAACUAAAAACAGCCUUGCAAGUGAAACCUUCCAGGGAACCACCAGACUGAAAGACUGAGAAGAUGUAGAGGGGCCAGAGCAAAUUCUCAGUGGAACUCACUGCCUUUGAAAGAAACUACAUGGAAUGGAGGCACCAACUGAAGUUUGCACCAGAGUGAAUGCCUUUGAUGACUCUCACCCUAUUUAAGAUUAGCAAGAAGAAAAAGAUACCCAAUCUUGCAGUGAUUUGAAGGGAAAAAAAAGAUUUCACAGUCUUUUGAAGUGUUUCAAGGUCUUUACAA